rnacentral:rRNA from 1 species
UGCGGGUACGUCAAUUGCCUGCAGGUAUUAACCACAUCACCUUCCUCCCCGCUGAAAGUACUUUACAACCCGAAGGCCUUCUUCAUACACGCGGCAUGGCUGCAUCAGGCUUGCGCCCAUUGUGCAAUAUUCCCCACUGCUGCCUCCCGUAGGA